UACAGAGGGGGCAAGCGUUAUUCGGAAUUAUUGGGCGUAAAGGGCGCGUAGGCGGCUUGGCAAGUGGAUGGUGAAAUCCCUCGGCUUAACCGAGGAACUGCCAUCCAGACUGCUUUGCUUGAGGCCGGGAGAGGUGAGUGGAAUUCCCAGUGUAGCGGUGAAAUGCGUAGAUAUCUGGAGGAACACCGGUGGCGAAGGCGGCGUCCUGGACCAACACUGACACUGAGGAGCGAAAGCCAGGGGAGCAAACGGG
rnacentral:rRNA from 1 species